UUUAACCCCUCAACCUGAGCCUUUUCUUGGCCAUUCUGCCACUGAGCACGUGACCACGCUGCCCGUUGCUCACGCCUUCCAUGUCUCCCUCUCUCUCCUACAGCUGCGCUCUGCGGAGCUAAAGCUAAUUGUACUCGCAGCGUGCCAGAGGAGCUCACUCGCGUCGAGACCUGCCUGUUUUUUCUUGCCGUGCGGGUGCGGUCACCGCCGCCGCCGCCGCCGUGCUCCGUGCCGUGUCCGUGAUCUGCCAUCCAGCCGUGCAUGCGCCGAGGCUUCGACCCCUGCGGUUCCGGCGACGCCGUUGUAAUGGAAGCAGCCACAUUCAAGGAGAUAGCCAGAACUGAACUAUAAUCAGAUACUGUUGCUGUGCAAGACAUACUCAAAUGACUGACAUGAGGCGCCACUCGGUCUCCGUGGACGUCCCACUGUCAAGAACCCUGGUGCAGCUCAAGCGAGUGAGGUCGCUGCGGGAUCCAGCAACAAACUCUAUGAGCAAGUAUGCAUCUCCUUCUGACAGUAUGAUCUGGGAGACUGCUUCUAGCAAUGGAGCGAUGAUGGAAGGAAGCAGGUCAGCACACCAUCAUUUGAUUGAGGAGGAUGUGGAUUUGGAAGCCGAAGCUACAAUGGGGUCAGAGCGAAGCUUCCGGGCACCAAAUGCAAGAACUGCAUCUUACAGGAAAUCUUCAGUUGUCAGGAUCAGAGGCUUAAACCCACCAAGAAACAAGCAAGUUCAUCGUGUCCGCGGAGAUGGUCACAGGAAAUCAGUGGAUUCUAACCACUCUAAUCAUAGCUCUCUUAGGCAGUUGGCAAACAAUAUAGUAACCAACGUGGUGGAGGAGAAGGAAGAGGAGGAGGUGAAUUCCUAUGAACGGGUGUUGCCAGAGAAGAGCGAGGAAGAAGUGAAAAGGCGUUCCAAAUUCAAGGGCAAGUCUUCUGCUGCAAUGAGCCGCGUUGGCAGCCCUUGUAUGUCUGCCAGUGAAGCGCGCUCAGUUGGGUCCAGAAGAAGCACAGUAGGGCAUGGAACUGAGGACACACAAGUGAGGUCGAAUGAUGUUGUAGGACCAAACUUCAGUGGAUGUGGUAUAAGCUACUGCUGGUCAGGAGCAUCAAAGUACCGCGAUCUUUAUUCCGAUAGUGAUGGUCCAGAGCAACCUCUCCUAUCCCCAGAGGGGACUGAGGUACCGUUCCAAGAAAAUGUACCAUACACUGAGACACCAAGGUGUUUAAGCCAAAAAUUUCGCCCUCGAUCCUUCAGUGAACUGAUUGGCCUCAAUGUGGUUGCUCAGUCCCUCUUGUAUUCCUCUUGCAAAGGGAAGAUUGCUCCAAUGUACUUGUUCCAUGGCCCCCGGGGUACAGGCAAGACGUCUACGGCACGCAUUUUUGCUGCUGCUCUAAAUUGCCUCUCUCUUGAAGAGCAAAGGCCAUGUGGGUUCUGUAAAGAGUGUGUUAUUCUCUUCUCUGGGAGGAGCAGAGAUGUAAAAGAAAUUGAUGCAGCAAAAAUGGAUCGCUUGGGUCGCGUAAAGGCACUUCUCAAGAGCGCAUCUCUUGUCCCAUACUCGUCACGCUUCAAGGUUUUCAUAGUUGAUGAAUGCCAUCUGUUGCUAGAAGAUGCCUGGUCGGCAAUAGUGAAGAGUCUUGAUGAGCCAUACCGGCAUGCUGUCUACAUUAUGAUUACUUCUGAUCUAGAUAGCUUGCCUCGCACUUCCGUCACACAUUGCCAGAAGUUCCAUUUUCCAAAGAUAAAGGUUGCAGAUAUUGUCAACAGGUUGGAGAGAAUCUGCGUAGAUGAGGGGUUAGAAUUUGACCAUGAUGCGUUGCACUUCAUUGCUGCAAAGUCUAAUGGUUCUCUUAGAGACGCUGAAAUAAUGCUGGAUCAACUUAGUUUGCUUGGGAAGAGGGUCACAAUUUCUCUUGUGCAUGAACUUGUAGGAUUGGUGUCUGAUGAUGAGUUGAUUGAGUUGCUUGAUCUAGCACUGUCAUCGGACACAACCAACACGGUUAGACGAGCUCGGGAACUUAUGGCGUCGUCGGUUGAUCCUCUGCAGCUGGUCUCUCAGCUGGCAAACCUUAUUAUGGACAUUCUCUCAGGACGAUGUCAAUCCGCGGUCACUGAAGUCAGCAAAAGUUUCUUGGGAAGAUAUGCGUUGGCAGAUGUUGGUAUAGAGAAACUAAGACAUGCACUGAAAAUACUGUCAGAAGCUGAAAAACAGUUGAGGACAUCAAGAAAUAAGGCAACUUGGGUUACUGUUGCACUUUUGCAGUUUGGCAGCUCUGAAUCUGACAUAGUAGCAGAAACAAAUGACAUGCAUGCACGCUCAGCAACAGGAUAUACAGAUGACUGGGUAUCCAAGGUAAACUCAAGCUCCAAUUUCUGCGAUGCGUGUAACAGCAACAAGUCCAACUGUUCUGAGAGACACUGUAGACGGCUUAAGCUUGAAAACAUCUGGAGGAGAGCCACUGGGAAGUGUCAAUCAAGAUCAGCCAGAAGUUUCCUCAAGAAAGAAGGAAUCCUAUCAUCAGUCCAUGUUACCGAAGAGGUGGCUAUAGCUGAAGUUGGAUUUAGUCACCCGGAUCACCUAUCAAGGGCAGAGAAAAUGCAAAGCCUGAUACAAGGAGUACUGCAGCACGUUCUCGGGUUCAAUGUGGAGAUCAGAUUCAAACUUGUCCCGUGUGCUGCGAGGAAAGAUGCAAGGUCGAAGAGACACUCAUUCAGCCUGCUCGGCUGCUCGGGACGAAAGCAAGAGCUGUCAGAUUCCACAGUGACAGAUGAGGAUGAACCUGUGAGGCAUGGAGCAAGAGAAACACCUCUGAAAGGCUACUCCUCUAGUCAGCAGCCAUCGCCAUUCAUUGUGCAACGUGUUGAUUCUAAGCCAACAGUUCAUGGCUCCGAGGACGAUGCCCGGAGCACCUUGACAUCAAACAGAUCCAUGACUGAUGACCUGACAAGGACAUGUAGGUCGGAGGCUAACUACUCCAAGGGCGCAAGUGAGCAGGGUCGUUUCGACAGCAUCCAGGAGCCCGACCUUCAGCCGAAUUGCUUCUCACGAACAUUGAAGCUUCAAAAGAGGUUCUUCUCGUCGGAUGCAGCACACACAAUCUGUUUCAGGAUCCAGCCACACAACAAAAUGGGUUUCCUACCUAAGAAAGAAUUCGAUACAUAUUUCUGCACAUAUGGGCCCUAUGAGCAGUGUCCAAGAUCGAAUUCGAGAGCUACUUACGGUUCAAGAGAUGAGGACUUGUCCAUCAAGACUUCUUCUGGGUUUGGUUCGAACCUGCUCUGCUGGAAGGGCCCUAAACAGUCAAUCUAACAGGGCACACAACUGAUCGGUUUUACAUGAAAAUUUACAGGAACAUAAAGGCCUCGAACAAUUGAAAUGGAUGAUCAAACAAGAUGAGCCAGUCACAUAAAUUCUGAAAAUCAAAAUUUUGCCCGAAGCUGGAGAGUUGGCACCUUUGGCAGCAAUUUUUUUAGGAGAGUCUGCGGACUGGAUUCAGUCUAAAUGCAUUUGCAUCGAGGGAGUUCUUGCUAUUUGUAAAACAAAUGAUGAAACUUGUUGUCUGUAGGCCGCAUUUAGUCAGAUUUUUUAGCUAAGCAGAUUUGACAGGAGACCUGGAGAGGCUGUUUCCACUUCUUGUAUGAAAGAACUAAAUAAUGCUAGUGAUGAUUUGUACAGCAUGCUGAUGAUACAUCCAAGUUUUCUAAAUUUGAACAACUUUUUUAGCA